UGGGGAAUAUUGCACAAUGGGCGCAAGCCUGAUGCAGCCAUGCCGCGUGUAUGAAGAAGGCCUUCGGGUUGUAAAGUACUUUCAGCGGGGAGGAAGGCGAUGUGGUUAAUAACCGCGUCGAUUGACGUUACCCGCAGAAGAAGCACCGGCUAACUCCGUGCCAGCAGCCGCGGUAAUACGGAGGGUGCAAGCGUUAAUCGGAAUUACUGGGCGUAACUCGCACGCAGGCGGUCUGUCAAGUCGGAUGUGAAAUCCCCGGGCUCAACCUGGGAACUGCAUCCGAAACUGGCAGGCUUGAGUCUCGUAGAGGGGGGUAGAAUUCCAGGUGUAGCGGUGAAAUGCGUAGAGAUCUGGAGGAAUACCGGUGGCGAAGGCGGCCCCCUGGACGAAGACUGACGCUCAGGUGCGAAAGCGUGGGGAGCAAACA
rnacentral:rRNA from 1 species